rnacentral:rRNA from 1 species
AUUGAACGCUGGCGGCAUGCUUUACACAUGCAAGUCGAACGGUAACAGGCCGCAAGGUGCUGACGAGUGGCGAACGGGUGAGUAAUGCAUCGGAACGUGCCCAGUCGUGGGGGAUAACGCAGCGAAAGCUGCGCUAAUACCGCAUACGAUCUAUGGAUGAAAGCGGGGGACCGGAAGGCCUCGCGCGAUUGGAGCGGCCGAUGUCAGAUUAGGUAGUUGGUGGGGUAAAGGCUCACCAAGCCAACGAUCUGUAGCUGGUCUGAGAGGACGACCAGCCACACUGGGAAUGAGACACGGCCCAGACUCCUACGGGAGGCAGCAGUGGGGAAAUUUGGACAAUGGGCGCAAGCCUGAUCCAGCAAUGCCGCGUGCAGGAAGAAGGCCUUCGGGUUGUAAACUGCUUUUGUACGGAACGAAACGGUCCUGGUUAAUACCUGGGGCUAAUGACGGUACCGUAAGAAUAAGCACCGGCUAACUACGUGCCAGCCGCCGCAGUAAAAC